UACGAGUGCCCUAAGCGUUAUCCGGAAUCAUUGGGCGUAAAGGGUGUGUAGGCGGUCGUGUUAGUCUUGUGUUAAAUUCUUCGGCUUAACCGGGGGCAUGCAUGAGAAACGGCACGACUAGAGGAUGCGAGAGGUGAAUGGAACUCAUGGAGUAGGGGUGAAAUCCGUUGAUAUCAUGGGGAACACCAAAUGGCGAAGGCAAUUCACUGGCGCACUCCUGACGCUGAAACACGAAAGCGUAGGUAGCGAAUGGG
rnacentral:rRNA from 1 species